GCUCUUAUAGCUCAAUUAGAGCAGUACAUUGAAGAUGUAUUGGUAGUUUAACUUCUGAGCA
rnacentral:tRNA from 1 species